AAAACGGUUUAAUUUUGUACUACUCGAACCGUAUAGUCAUGAUUAAAAAAAAUCAAAUUUACAUCGCAUAAAGAAUAGAACAUCCUCUGGGUAUCGUUUUUUUUGUCAAAUUCUCUACAAACGAAUGAAGACUAUAUUGUACUGCAUUCUAUUUAUUUUUUCCCCGUUAUUUUCGGAUACUUUCAGUGACUCCUUCUCGAUAAAAUUAACUCAAAUAAUCGGGAAUUAGAAUCGUUUUAAAGUAAAAAUUGAAUUGCUUUGGUUUUUUGCUGUCAGCAGGUACUAACAUAUGCAGGGGAGCCCACGAGGCUACCGCUAUCUCUCUCGGUUUUAUAGGUGAAUCAAAGUGAUGAAAGUUGAAUUGAAUAUUAAUUCAAUCAUGUUAUUGCGGGAGGCGGGCAUUUUAUUGGCAUUAACACCUAUACACAUCCUCCAAAUGAAGCUACGAGAUGGCAUUUUGUGUAUUUGAACCUUAUAAUAUGUGCCUCUUGAAGGUUUCAACCGUCAACCUCUAUCCCUAUUAUUUAUAUGCUCUACACUCUAUUUUUAUUAUUUCACCAUUUUAUUUGGAAGUCGUAGGUGUACUAUAUUGUAUUAUGCAUUGAAGUAUUCGAUUAUUUAAUGUUUUGCGAAGCAUGUUUCCAUAAUACAAAACAGGCAAGGAGGAAUUUGAUUCUAGUGAUGGAGCUCUGUAGUUGCUCACGGGUGUUUAUUUUUAUGUGCGAAUUCGGUUUUUUAAUUAAUACAUGCGAAACGCAGUCUCAGUGCUUUUUACAAAUAAUUUUAUGGCCGUUCCGCGCAUCUCCUCUUAUAGGUCCCCUCAGGUUUUUAUUUUGAAUUUCUUAUUGUUCCAAAAAACGCUGUUUCUUUUUAAUGCAUUAUACGGUUUAUUUCGAUCCUUUAUGAUACAUAGUAUUUUUUGUUUAACGCUUAUUGAAUUAAACAUGGCAUUUUUAAUAUU